rnacentral:misc_RNA from 1 species
GAUGAAGAACGUAGCGAAAUGCGAUAAGUAAUGUGAAUUGCAGAAUUCAGUGAAUCAUCGAAUCUUUGAACGCACAUUGCGCCCCCUGGUAUUCCGGGGGGCAUGCCUGUUCGAGCGUCAUUUCACCACUCAAGCCUCGCUUGGUAUUGGGCAACGCGGUCCGCCGCGUGCCUCAAAUCGACCGGCUGGGUCUUCUGUCCCCUAAGCGUUGUGGAAACUAUUCGCUAAAGGGUGUUCGGGAGGCUACGCCGUAAAACAACCCCAUUUCUAAGGUUGACCUCGGAUCAGGUAGGGCUACCCGCUGAACUUAAGCAUAUCAAUAAGCGGAGGA